rnacentral:rRNA from 1 species
UUCGCAAUGCCCGAAAGGGUGACGAAGCGACGCCGCGUGUGGGAAGAAGGCCUUCGGGUUGUAAACCACUGUCGGGAGUUAGGAAAUGUAAGGGUGCUAAUAGUAUCCUUACUUGACUAAGGCUCCGGAGGAAGCCACGGCUAACUCUGUGCCAGCAGCCGCGGUAAUACAGAGGCGGCAAGCGUUGUUCGGAAUUAUUGGGCGUAAAGAGCACGUAGGCGGCCUUGUAAGUCAGUUGUGAAAGCCUUCUGCUUAACGGAAGAACAGCAGCUGAUACUGCAAGGCUAGAGUGCGGAAGGGGAGAGUGGAACUUCUGGUGGAGCGGUGAAAUGCGUAGAUAUCAGAAGGAGCACCGGCGGCGAAGGCGACUCUCUGGUCCGUAACUGACGCUGAGUGUGCGAAAGCUAGGGGAGCAAACGGGAUUAGAUACCCCGGUAGUCCUAGCCGUAAACGAUGGGCACUAAGUAGAGGGGUUUU